AUUAAUAAGCGGAGGAAAAGAAACUAACAAGGAUUCCCUUAGUAACGGCGAGUGAAGCGGGAUGAGCCCAGCACCGAAUCCCACGCUGCUUUCGGCGUCGGGAACUGUGGUGUUUAGGACAGCCUAUGGAGAUCGUUUCGGGCGCCCGAGUCUCUCUGAUCGGGGCUUYACCCAUAGCGGGUGUCAGGCCUCUACGGCGCUUGAUCGGUCUUCUACGGUCGUCCUUGGAGUCGGGUUGUUUGAGAUUGCAGCCCAAAGCGGGUGGUAAACUCCAUCUAAGGCUAAAUACUGACACGAGUCCGAUAGCGAACAAGUACCGUGAGGGAAAGUU
rnacentral:rRNA from 1 species